rnacentral:rRNA from 1 species
AUUGAACGCUGGCGGCAGGCCUAACACAUGCAAGUCGAGCGAGCGGCGGACGGGUGAGUAAUGUAUGGGGACUGCCCGAUAGAGGGGGAUAACUACUGGAAACGGUGGCUAAUACCGCAUACUAUCAGAUAACCCAUAUGGGAUUAGCUAGUAGGUGGGGUAAAGGCUCACCUAGGCGACGAUCUCUAGCUGGUCUGAGAGGAUGAUCAGCCGCACUGAAACUGAGACACGGCCCAGACUCCUACGGAGGAAGCAGUGGGGAAGAUUGCACAAUGGGCGCAAGCCUGAAACAGCCAUGCCGCGUGUAUGAAGAAGGCCGUAGGGUUGUAAAGUACUUUCAGCGGGGAGGCGUUACCAACAGAAGAAGCACCGGCUAACUCCGUGCCAGCAGCCGCGGUAAUUC